GGGGGUGUAAAGGUUUCGACGGGGGUAAUAAGCAAAGGUUGCAUGCCGAGGUCCGGGUGGCUCGUUAAACAAUCCGGGACGCAUUAAGCGCCGACAACUACGAAUACGCUUUAGCAGCUUAAUAACCUGCUAACGAUCUGCCGAGCCUCUCCCACGGGUGAGGACAGAUCGUCAUUUUAGUGGGAUAGUUCCAGUGAGUGCCUGCGGCACUGGGGCGAAAUUUAGCGGGACCGCUUCUCAUGAAUCCCGGCCUGUGGAGUCAUGAGCGGUUAAAUUAAAAACAGGUAUAAGCAUGUAGACGCCUUUUGUGUACGACUUUCGGACGCGGGUUCGAUUCCCGCCACCUCCACCA
rnacentral:tmRNA from 1 species